CCAGCCGUGGGCUCUGUGGAUGCCGUGCUGUGACGGAGGGCCGAGGGCUGAGCACGUCGCAGGGAGGAUUUGUACGUAGGAAGAGAGGCGAUGGCCGUGCAGCGUGCUCCCGAGGCUGCUCUGAGCCUGCUGAUGGUCCUGGGGAACUUUGCAAGGGACUCAGGUGAAAGCACUCAUCCCUUGAUGGGUUUUAAUGCGUCCUGACCAAGGCACUUGUGGCAGGUGUUUGAAGUCUCCUUUCUGACACAGCUGGUGCUCGCAUUCGGGGUUUAUCCUGAGCUGUAGAUAUUUCAUUUUGCUCCUCAUAUCAGUGAAUUUUCAUGUCCUGCUGCUCUCCCUCUUUCUGCCCUUGCUGACUGUGCAGCCACUUACCCGCAGAGCCAGAGACCUUGAUUUCUGUCCGGCGGGCGUGUUGCUGGCUGCAGCCAGGUGCUUUUGGUGCUGUGUCACUUGGGGACCGGUCCUCUGAUGCAGUGAAUUGCCAUUUGGCUCGCUGCAGACCAUGUCAGCCCUGCUGCUGACUGCAGACUGCAGUAAUGACCAGCAUUUACCUGAGAUCCACAGCCGUGCAGCUGGGCUUGGAGGAUCAGAUGAGAGCCUCGGGGAGCAGCAAGGUUUCAGUGGCAGGAUGAAGUCAUUUUUCUGCCUGCCUCACCUCAGCCUUAAAUUAUCUCUGCCUUUAUGCAAAAGCUCUCGACCUCCAAACCUCCUGGCUCAAACAGGCCGUGCUGCUCAUAAGAGGUGAGCUGUGGCUGGCAUGCUCCUUCCACUACACCAAACCCCACUCUUUUGUCACCCCUGUGUGGGGUUGGGGACAGCACAGCUCCUUUUUGAUGGCUGAGGCCGUGAGGCCUGUCAGCUGGCAGUGGGAUUGCUUGGCAGCGACUCACACCAUCCCCGAGGGAUUGGCCGCACAGCUGAUGUCAGGCCCUCUUCAGCUUCACAUCCAAAAUGAGAUCUUUUAUAUUAUACAUCCCUCUCUGUGCUCCUUUUGUAGAUAUUUCUACCAUGCAGGUGUGGGGGCUUCAUCCUCAGCCUUUCCUGAAGGCCUGCGGCAGAGACGAUGAUGUGUGGUGGCACUUGGGGGAGGAACGGUGCCUUCAGAUGUCCCUGCCUCCUCAUCUCAUUCCUAAUUUCAUCAAGGCACUCAUUUUCUAAUAGGCUUCACGAGCAGUAAAUGGCUGAGCUGUUCUGGUUGCUCUUUUGGAGGAUGCUGUAAUUCCUCCUUGGUGGCUGCUUGCUACCACAGACCAGGAAUUUAGGUAUUUCUUAUCGAUAAGUAAUUCUGAGUUGCAUCUGAACUUGCAGCACUGAAUUGUACCUGAACUACACUGCGUGCCUUUGUAAACUCACAGCAACACUUCAAACACAGUGACUUAAUUCAGCUGAAUGAGAUUA
rnacentral:lncRNA from 1 species